UACGUAGGGGGCAAGCGUUAUCCGGAAUCACUGGGCGUAAAGGGAGCGUAGGCGGCUUUUCAAGUCAGAGGUGAAAGGCUACGGCUCAACCGUAGUAAGCCUUUGAAACUGUAAAGCUUGAGUGCAGGAGAGGAGAGUGGAAUUCCUAGUGUAGCGGUGAAAUGCGUAGAUAUUAGGAGGAACACCAGUGGCGAAGGCGACUCUCUGGACUGUAACUGACGCUGAGGCUCGAAAGCGUGGGGAGCAAACAGG
rnacentral:rRNA from 1 species